CCAGCGGAAGAACGGAUCCAAGAGCAGAAGGCCGGAUCGUGCCCGUUUUCCAGCCGUCCGGUAGGAGGGAGUUACGUUUUUACGUAGUGACGUCAUUGACGGAAGCUCAGGCGGCAGCUGUGGACUGAGACUGUGGGUCACCCUUGGGAAGGUAUAUGAAGAUUCUGAUCCUAAUUUGACUGGCUUCUUUUUUUCACCAUGGGUGAGCUCUUCCGAAGUGAGGAAAUGACCCUUGCACAACUUUUCCUUCAGUCUGAAGCAGCAUACUGCUGUGUCAGUGAAUUGGGAGAACUUGGGAAGGUCCAGUUUCGAGAUCUAAACCCUGAUGUGAAUGUGUUCCAACGUAAAUUUGUUAACGAAGUCAGAAGAUGUGAAGAGAUGGACAGAAAGCUCAGAUUUGUGGAAAAAGAAAUUAAGAAGGCCAACAUCCCCAUCACAGACACCGGAGAGAAUCCAGAAGUGCCAUUUCCUCGAGACAUGAUUGACUUGGAGGCAAACUUUGAGAAAAUAGAGAAUGAGCUCAAGGAGAUCAACACCAAUCAGGAAGCCCUGAAAAGGAAUUUCCUAGAGCUAACAGAGUUGAAAUUCAUACUGAGAAAAACUCAACAGUUUUUUGAUGAGGCUGAAUUGCAUCAUCAGCAGAUGGCGGAUCCUGAAUUGUUGGAGGAGUCUUCAUCGCUGUUGGAACCAAGCGAAAUGGGAAGAGGGGCCCCACUGCGAUUGGGAUUUGUGGCUGGAGUGAUCAACCGUGAGCGAAUCCCGACCUUUGAGCGAAUGCUUUGGAGGGUGUGUCGUGGAAAUGUUUUCUUACGACAAGCUGAAAUUGAAAAUCCUCUAGAGGACCCAGUAACGGGUGACUAUGUGCACAAGUCUGUGUUCAUUAUUUUUUUCCAAGGUGACCAGCUGAAAAACAGAGUCAAGAAGAUCUGUGAAGGAUUCCGGGCUUCUUUGUACCCCUGUCCAGAAACUCCACAGGAAAGGAAGGAAAUGGCUGCCGGAGUAAACACAAGAAUUGAUGACCUUCUGAUGGUACUGAACCAAACUGAAGAUCAUCGUCAGAGGGUUCUUCAGGCUGCUGCAAAGAACGUCCGUGUUUGGUUCAUAAAGGUGCGCAAGAUGAAAGCCAUUUACCAUACUCUGAACCUCUGCAAUAUUGAUGUGACCCAGAAAUGUCUCAUCGCUGAAGUCUGGUGUCCUGUUGCUGACCUGGAUUCCAUUCAGUUUGCUCUCAGGCGUGGUACGGAGCAUAGUGGAUCCACUGUCCCCUCUAUCUUGAAUAGGAUGCAGACCAACCAGACUCCACCUACAUACAAUAAGACCAAUAAAUUCACUGAUGGGUUUCAGAACAUUGUAGAUGCUUAUGGUAUUGGAACCUAUCGUGAGAUUAAUCCAGCUCCAUACACAAUCAUAACCUUCCCAUUCUUAUUUGCUGUGAUGUUUGGAGAUUUUGGCCACGGCAUUCUUCUGACACUUUUUGCUGUCUGGAUGGUGAUCAGAGAGAGCCGCAUUCUAUCACAAAAGAGUGAUAAUGAGAUAUUCAACAUUAUUUUCAGUGGCCGCUACAUUAUACUGUUGAUGGGUUCUUUCUCCAUUUAUACUGGCCUGAUCUAUAAUGACUGUUUCUCAAAGUCACUCAAUAUGUUUGGCUCAUCUUGGAGUGUCCGACCAAUGUUCCAGAAAUCCAACUGGACAGAAGACCUUCUCCAGGAAUAUCCUAUGCUUCAGCUUAAUCCUGCCAUUGAGGGUGUUUUUGGUGGAGCAUAUCCCUUUGGCAUUGAUCCAAUCUGGAAUAUUGCUACCAACAAGCUGGUGUUCCUUAACUCCUUCAAAAUGAAGAUGUCAGUAAUUCUGGGCAUCAUCCACAUGAUGUUUGGUAUCACACUUAGUCUGCUGAACCAUAUUUAUUUUAAGAAACCUCUGAAUAUCUUCCUUGGCUUUAUCCCUGAAAUUAUCUUCAUGUCUUCAUUGUUUGGAUAUUUGAUCAUCCUUAUCUUCUAUAAGUGGGCAGCAUACAAUGCUAAGAACUCCAUGUAUGCACCAAGUCUUCUUAUUCACCUCAUCAACAUGUUCCUCUUCUCCUAUGAAAAAGAUGCCAAAAUGCUUUAUAGUGGGCAGAAAGGUCUUCAGUGUUUCCUGGUGGUAGUUGCAUUUCUGUGUAUCCCAUGGAUGCUGGUUGCUAAACCCUUGAUUCUUCGCCAACAGUAUUUGCAAAGAAAGCACUUGGGAACACUCAAUUUUGGUGGGAUUCGUGUAGGCAAUGGGCCAACUGAGGAAGAUGCCGAGAUAAUCCAGCAUGAUCAACUCUCCACUCAUUCUGAGGAGGGUGAAGAGCCUGCAUUGGAGGAAGUGUUUAAUUUUGGAGAUACCGUUGUCAAUCAGGCUAUCCAUACCAUUGAAUAUUGCUUAGGAUGCAUCUCCAACACAGCCUCCUACCUGCGUCUCUGGGCACUCAGUCUAGCUCAUGCACAGCUUUCUGAAGUCCUCUGGACCAUGGUGAUUCACUUGGGUCUCAGUAUCAAUAAUCUGGCUGGUAGUUUGGCCUUGUUCUUUUUAUUUGCUGUCUUUGCUACUCUAACAGUAGCCAUCUUAUUGGUCAUGGAAGGUCUUUCAGCCUUUCUGCAUGCCCUCCGUUUACACUGCCUCAUUACAUUCUGUCCUUGAUGAAGUGUGUGUAUUUUAGUACAAGCAGUGAGAUGGAUGUUGUUUCUAAAAAGAGGGUGGAAUUCCAGAAUAAAUUCUACAUGGGUGCUGGGUUCAAGUUUCUCCCUUUCUCAUUUGACAGCAUCCGUGAUGGGAAAUUUGAUGAAUAAUCAUCUAGGAGACAUAAUGCUUGGAAGUGUGCCACUAAAUCCAGACCCUUACCUGCAUGUGUGCAUAUAUAUUUAUAAGUCUCCCUGAAUGAUAAUCUGAUGUGUAGUUUUCCUGUUGUGUCCACAAUAUUCUAGUGAUAAUAAUGUGAUAUUUCAUUUAAAGUUUUUAUUGAAGGAAGAAAAUUCUAAAAGGAUACUCAGAGAAUUUCAGGGGUGGGGGGAUUGCUACCAAAAUUAAACUGUACUUUUUUCAAGUCUUGGAUGAGCCUUUGGUUUUAUGCCACAAGUGCUGAGAGAGGAAUGUUUGUGAUCAUAAAGGAGGAUGACCUGGUGGUCUGUAGCUGUCUUGUUCCCCAAAACCAUGGUAGCUAAAAGAGAAAAAUUCAAGUUUCUAGUCCUAUGAACUGCUUUAGAUUUGGGGAAACACACAUAUUGCAUACAUUUGUUCUAACACUUGAUGAUUAAAAGGGGCUCAGUUAUUCAUCCAUCCAAAAUGCACACUUUCCUUUCAAACUUUCAAAAGGGUAUUUAUAGUCCCUACAGAUUAGUUUUACUAAGUACAAAACUUGCAAUCCAAAAAGCAGUCCUGUUUGCAAUAGCCUGCUUAGAUGCUAGUACUUUUUCUGCAUUUUUUUCUCGGUUAAAUCACAUCCAUAGGGGAGACAAUUCACCAGAAAGAUUCUUCACUAUUAUUUGACAGACAUUUUAAGCAUUUGCCCCUGCACAGGACUUUUCCCAUAUUUUAAAUAUAAUUUUAAUCCCUGGAAACCUCUUUUCUGUAACAUUUGAGAUGUAAACUAGGAAAUGUAGAUGGAAAGUCAAUCGCUUUCUGGAAAAGUGACCCCCCCAAAACAUUGCAUCUUGGCAUUGUCAGAAAUCUUUUUUGCUAGAUGAAAAGAGCAGGUGGAGAAGCAGCUUACUUGAUUACCUAGCUGGCCUCUGUUUGGCUCCACAUGAUUAAUUAAUAAGAAAACAUUUAAUAACACUGCUUAAAACUUUGAAUUGCUUGUUUUGUUCAAAGAAAAGUCAGAAUCUUUCACCUCAGUUCUCACAUGACCUUGACACCUAUUACUGCUGUAGAGAACAAUUUGAUUACUAUUGACAUGUCUAGAGCUGAACAAUUCAAGAGAGUGUGGUAGCUUGACAGCAGCAGUAACAGCAGCAGUAUAUAUGUUCUUAGGACAGAUUCUCCUUGAAAAUAGGAAUAGCUUGAGGGUAACACCUGCCUUCUCUUUGUGUGUGUUUUGAUGCAGGAAUGAAUCUAGUAUUAUAUGCCUCUGUAAGAUGCAAAUUUAUUCUCUGAGUGUCAUGUUGUGUUGUGUUAGAUAAAUGUGCAUUUUUCUGAAAGUGUUUCACAUGAAAACCUCAGGGCCCUUCAUUGGCACUUAAAGAAUGAGCCUUGAUUUGAUGUGAUAACCUUACAAGAGGGUGCAAAAAUAACACUUUUUAUUAGAAACUGUGAAAUUCUAGCUGUUGCUGUUGUGUAAAAUGCAAAAAUCCUGUUUUGACAACUAGAAUAUGCAGUAAAGUUUUUCCCUAUUUUCGUCAUCAGCUAAUUGCUGUAUCUAUUAAAGCAGUUGAAGUCA